rnacentral:rRNA from 1 species
ACGCUGAAGGAGGAGUUUGCUUCUCCGGAUGAGUUGCGAACGGGUGAGUAACGCGUAGGUAACCUGCCUGGUAGCGGGGGAUAACUAUUGGAAACGAUAGCUAAUACCGCAUAAUAGUAGAUGUUGCAUGACAUUUACUUAAAAGGUGCAAUUGCAUCACUACCAGAUGGACCUGCGUUGUAUUAGCUAGUUGGUGGAGUAACGGCUCACCAAGGCGACGAUACAUAGCCGACCUGAGAGGGUGAUCGGCCACACUGGGACUGAGACACGGACCAGACUCCUACGGGAGGCAGCAGAAGGGAAUCUUCGGCAAUGGACGGAAGUCUGACCGAGCAACGCCGCGUGAGUGAGGAAGGUAAACGGAUCGUAAAGCUCUGUCGUCCGAGAGGAACGAGUGUGCCAGUGGAAAGUGCACACUGGCACGGUAUCCUACCAGACAGGGACAGCUAACUACGUGCCAGCAUCCUCGGUAAUACGUAGGUCCCGAGCGUUGUCCGGAUUUACUGGGCGUAAAGCGAGCACAGGCGGUUAGAUAAGUCUGAAGUUAAAGGCUGUGGCUUAACCAUAGUACGCUUUGGAAACUGUUUAACUUGAGUGCAAGAGGGGAGAGUGGAAUUCCAUGUGUAGCGGUGAAAUGCGUAGAUAUAUGGAGGAACACCGGCGGCGAAAGCGGCUCUCUGGCUUGUAA